GGAAAGGGGUGACUCAGUAGGAAGAGUAGUUGUCUUGCAAUCAGAAGGUUGUGGGUUCAAUAUCAGCUUCCUCCU